AGAGUUUGAUCCUGGCUCAGGAUGAACGCUGGCGGCGUGCCUAAUACAUGCAAGUCGAACGCACUGAUUUUAUCAGUGAGUGGCGAACGGGUGAGUAAUACAUAAGUAACCUGCCCUCAUGAGGGGGAUAACUAUUAGAAAUGAUAGCUAAGACCGCAUAGGUGAAGGGGUCGCAUGACCGCUUCAUUAAAUAUCCGUAUGGAUAGCAGGAGGAUGGACUUAUGGCGCAUUAGCUGGUUGGUGAGGUAACGGCUCACCAAGGCGACGAUGCGUAGCCGACCUGAGAGGGUGGACGGCCACACUGGGACUGAGACACGGCCCAGACUCCUACGGGAGGCAGCAGUAGGGAAUUUUCGGCAAUGGGGGAAACCCUGACCGAGCAACGCCGCGUGAGGGAAGAAGUAUUUCGGUAUGUAAACCUCUGUUAUAAAGGAAGAACGGUAUGAAUAGGAAAUGAUUCAUAAGUGACGGUACUUUAUGAGAAAGCCACGGCUAACUACGUGCCAGCAGCCGCGGUAAUACGUAGGUGGCGAGCGUUAUCCGGAAUUAUUGGGCGUAAAGAGGGAGCAGGCGGCGGCAGAGGUCUGUGGUGAAAGACUGAAGCUUAACUUCAGUAAGCCAUAGAAACCGGGCUGCUAGAGUGCAGGAGAGGAUCGUGGAAUUCCAUGUGUAGCGGUGAAAUGCGUAGAUAUAUGGAGGAACACCAGUGGCGAAGGCGACGAUCUGGGCUGCAACUGACGCUCAGUCCCGAAAGCGUGGGGAGCAAAUAGGAUUAGAUACCCUAGUAGUCCACGCCGUAAACGAUGAGUACUAAGUGUUGGGGGUCAAACCUCAGUGCUGCAGUUAACGCAAUAAGUACUCCGCCUGAGUAGUACGUUCGCAAGAAUGAAACUCAAAGGAAUUGACGGGGGCCCGCACAAGCGGUGGAGCAUGUGGUUUAAUUCGAAGCAACGCGAAGAACCUUACCAAGUCUUGACAUCCCGGUGACAGAGUAUGUAAUGUACUUUCUCUUCGGAGCAUCGGUGACAGGUGGUGCAUGGUUGUCGUCAGCUCGUGUCGUGAGAUGUUGGGUUAAGUCCCGCAACGAGCGCAACCCUUGUCGCUAGUUACCAUCAUUAAGUUGGGGACUCUAGCGAGACUGCCUCUGCAAGGAGGAGGAAGGCGGGGAUGACGUCAAAUCAUCAUGCCCCUUAUGACCUGGGCUACACACGUGCUACAAUGGACGGAUCAAAGGGAAGCGAAGCCGCGAGGUGGAGCGAAACCCAAAAACCCGUUCUCAGUUCGGACUGCAGUCUGCAACUCGACUGCACGAAGUUGGAAUCGCUAGUAAUCGCGAAUCAGAAUGUCGCGGUGAAUACGUUCUCGGGCCUUGUACACACCGCCCGUCACACCAUGAGAGUUGGUAACACCCGAAGCCGGUGGCUUAACCGCAAGGAGAGAGCUGUCUAAGGUGGGACUGAUGAUUAGGGUGAAGUCGUAACAAGGUAUCCCUACGGGAACGUGGGGAUG
rnacentral:rRNA from 1 species